CUCCUGCCUCAGCCUCCCAAGUAACUAGAAUUACAGACAUGCGCCACCAUGCCCAGGUUUGUUUGGGGUAGAUCCGGGAAAAAGAAGGGAGAAACCCUGAGAGCAGCACGGGGAGCCCCAGGGAGACACGCAUCCCACUACUUGCUUUUCUUGCGUUCCAGUGGCUCGUUUUUCUUAGUGUCAAAGUACUUGAAAAAUAUUGAAGAACAGAUAGAUGUAUUUCAGGACAGCCUGGAGUGGGUGCACAUCCGCUGAGAAGCUGUGAGGAAAAGCAUCUGUGCUGAGUUCCAGCGCCACCAGAGGGCGCAUGAACCCACCCCCUGACCAACUUCCCUCUGAGGUGCCAGAAGCAGCGAGGAGUUUCGACUGAGGGUCCUGUCAACUAAGUUUUGUUCAUUAAAGCACAUGGGCUUGGAGGCACUGUGUCAGUUUGCAUUUCGAGAAUGAUGGCGCUCAACACUUCAUCCUGACUUUACGUGGUGCAGCGGGACGGCCACCAGAGGGCGCGUGUCCACUGCCUGUGUCUUGAGCAUGAGUGCCGCCAGCAGAGGGCACGUGAGCCCAGUUUUUCUCAUCCUGAGGCCACAGCUUCCCACCCAUUUCCUCUGUGUAGGCCCCUGUGAGGGCAGGAGUGGGGUUCUCCUAAGCACAGACCUGGGGACACCCCGCACUUUGGGACACCUUGAGCCCGCAUCCAUGCGUUUCCUUCUGAACAGGCGUAGACCCUGCAUUCCCGAUAGGAACACCCUGGCCUGGUGCCGUGCUCUCCUCAGUGCUGUCCAGCUGGAGGAGCUUCCAUCCGUCCCAACACCACUGGCGAUCUCACUUGGUAAUGGCAAAAUAUUUAUACAAUCACAGGUUUCAUCCUGUCAAGCUCUGGAUUUAACUUUGCCAAUGGUUUCCCAAUGGCCUUAGAACCAUGGCCUCCAGACCCAGAGUGCUCCUGCCUGCUGCCCUCUCCCAUCCAGUCUACUACACCUGCCUGCAGUCCCACUUACGGGGACAUGGGCUCCUGGGUGUCUCGGCAGGGAUUUUAUGUGUGUUCUCCCAGCCCAUUCACCCGGUGACCACCUUAGGUUUUUAAGGCCUUGUCUGGAUAAGUUCUUAAAGUUAUAGCAGUUACGUUAUCUAAAAGUAGAAAAGUUAAUAAUGUGAUUUUUCUAAAGUCAGGGAAAUAAUCCAUUAUUUAUUAGAUCAUCUGUGAGAUGACCCUCAAUUUUUCUUUUCUUUUUUUUGGAGAUGGAGUAUCCCUGUGUUGCUCAGGCUGGAGUGCAAUGCAUGAUGUCUGCUCAUCAUAGCCUCCACCUCCCAGUUUCAAGUGAUUU